UAGAGAGAAGAGCAGCACCAUCCCGGGACAGAUGAAUGCCAUCUCUUUUCAACAGGUGAAGACAGAGAUGAGGAGGCAUUUCUUCUCUUAGAUGAGGACACUAUCAAAAAUCUUGUCCCUCAAGUUCAAUCCAGUUAUUGAAUGUUGUCAAAUGUUUUAGAGAGAAUGAGUUGUUUGUUUUUCUAUUUUUUUUCUAAUGUCUAAUGUUAUUACUGUGUGACCUAAGAUAAAUAGGUCCAAGUGUGUGUUUAUUUAUAUAGAGUUUAAUUUAAUGCAAUAAAAAUUUAAAAGUG